GGCCUGCACGACCAAAUUGCGCAAUAGAUUUACCAAUUCUAUUUAUACUUUCUGGUUUUAAAAAUGAUCUUACCUGUUACUCUUCUGUUGGCCUUUGUUGCCUCAUUAAAU
rnacentral:ribozyme from 1 species